rnacentral:rRNA from 1 species
AGAGUUUGAUCCUGGCUCAGGAUGAACGCUGGCGGCGUGCCUAACACAUGCAAGUCGAGCGAUCUCUUCGGAGAGAGCGGCGGACGGGUGAGUAACGCGUGGGUAACCUGCCCUGUACACACGGAUAACAUACCGAAAGGUAUGCUAAUACGAGAUAAUAUAUAAGAGUCGCAUGACUUUUAUAUCAAAGAUUUUUCGGUACAGGAUGGACCCGCGUCUGAUUAGCUUGUUGGCGGGGUAACGGCCCACCAAGGCGACGAUCAGUAGCCGACCUGAGAGGGUGAUCGGCCACAUUGGAACUGAGACACGGUCCAAACUCCUACGGGAGGCAGCAGUGGGGAAUAUUGCACAAUGGGCGCAAGCCUGAUGCAGCAACGCCGCGUGAGCGAUGAAGGCCUUCGGGUCGUAAAGCUCUGUCCUCAAGGAAGAUAAUGACGGUACUUGAGGAGGAAGCCCCGGCUAACUACGUGCCAGCAGCCGCGGUAAUACGUAGGGGGCUAGCGUUAUCCGGAUUUACUGGGCGUAAAGGGUGCGUAGGCGGUCUUUCAAGUCAGGAGUUAAAGGCUACGGCUCAACCGUAGUAAGCUCCUGAUACUGUCUGACUUGAGUGCAGGAGAGGAAAGCGGAAUUCCCAGUGUAGCGGUGAAAUGCGUAGAUAUUGGGAGGAACACCAGUAGCGAAGGCGGCUUUCUGGACUGUAACUGACGCUGAGGCACGAAAGCGUGGGGAGCAAACAGGAUUAGAUACCCUGGUAGUCCACGCUGUAAACGAUGAGUACUAGGUGUCGGAGGUUACCCCCUUCGGUGCCGCAGCUAACGCA